rnacentral:rRNA from 1 species
UACGUAGGGGGCAAGCGUUGUCCGGAAUCAUUGGGCGUAAAGAGCGUGUAGGCGGUCCGGUAAGUCGGCUGUGAAAGUCCAGGGCUCAACCCUGGGAUGCCGGUCGAUACUGCCGGACUAGAGUUCGGAAGAGGCGAGUGGAAUUCCCGGUGUAGCGGUGAAAUGCGUAGAUAUAGGAAGGAACACCAGUGGCGAAGGCGACCACCUGGACUGAUACUGACACUGAGGUGCGAAAGCGUGGGGAGCAAACAGG